GACGCAGAGUUUUCGCUUAGUGUAUCACAUUACCUGAAUCAAAUCAGCUAAGCAGUAAUUUUAGAUCAGUGAAGUACAGUCCACCCUUCACGAUGAAGUUCGCUUGCGCAUUGCUCGUCCUCGUGGCCAUCGCCUUCUGCUUUGUUGAAGGAGAAGAACCUUUCUCCGAUUCCAACUCACCUCGGGGUAUUCCGGGUUGCUAUAAUAAAAAUUCCAAAACAUUCUGCAGACGUUUUAGGAAAUUCUGUGCAAGUAGCGAUCAAAAUGGCGAAUACAUGAGAGAAAACUGUCGCUACCAAUGUGGUUGUGUCUGAGGGAAGAGGAUCGCCUCAAAAAUAAGACAUCAAAGAUAGAAAAGAAGUCUAAAAAUCUUAAACUUAAAAUAAUUUAACAACAAUAAAUUAUCUUUCAAAUUAACACUGUUUAUUUAAGACCGUCUAAGAUAUAAAUGAUUCAUGUAUGUUUCAAGGUAAAUAAAGUGACAUUCGUAAACACUA